rnacentral:rRNA from 1 species
UACGUAGGGGUCCGAGCGUUGUCCGGAAUUACUGGGCGUAAAGAGCUCGUAGGUGGUUUGUCGCGUUGUUCGUGAAAACUCACAGCUCAACUGUGGGCGUGCGGGCGAUACGGGCAGACUUGAGUACUGCAGGGGAGACUGGAAUUCCUGGUGUAGCGGUGGAAUGCGCAGAUAUCAGGGAGGAACACCGGUGGCGAAGGCGGCAUCCUGGACCAAUACUGACGCUGAGGAGCGAAAGCCAGGGGAGCAAACGGG